GGAUUUCCUCGGGGCAGAGAGGGGAUACUGGAGAAGUUGUUACCCAUGGCAUCCGGCCCCAGGGGCUUCGGCGCUCGCGGGGGCCAGGCGAGGCUGGGCUGGAGCGGAGAAACAAACAAACAAAUAAAUAAAAUGAAGAAAGUGUGUCUGGAGAGGCAAGAGACCCAGAAUAAAACCAACACAAUAUUGACAACAACAAAACUGGAGAGCUGAUACCACACAGCUUCAAAAUGCACCAUACCGCUACAGUAAUCAAGACUCUGUGGGCUGGUGAAAGAACAGAUGAAUAUAGAUCAGUGGAACAGAAUAGAGAGCCCAGAAAUAAACCCACACAAAAGGUGUCAGCUGAUAUUUGACAAAGGAGUGGAGACAAUACAAUGGAGUGAACAUAGUUUCUUCAACAAAUGGUACAUGACCAACUGAACAUUCACAUGCAAAAAAAAUUAAUCUAAACACAAACCUUACAUCUUUCCAAAAAUUAACUCAAAAUGGACCACAGGCCUAAAUGUAAAAUGCAAAGCUAUAAAACUCUUAGAAAAUAGCAUAAGAGAAAAUCUAGAUGGCCUUGGGUUUGGUGGUGACUUUCUAGCUAUAACACCAAAGGGAUGAACUGUAAAAGAAAGAAUUGAUAAGCUGGACUUCAUUGAAAUUACAUUUUUCUGCUCUGCAAAAGACAUUAUUGAAAGAACAAAAUAUAAGAAAUGGACCACAGACUGGGGAAAAUGUUUGCAAAAUGCACAUCUGAUAAAAGACUGAAUAUACAAAGAACUCUUAAAAAUCAAUAAUAAGAAAACAACAUGAUUCAAAAUGAGUCAAAGACUUUAAUAGACUCUUCACCAAAGAAGAUAGGCAGAUGGCAAAUAAACAUAUAAACACAUGCUCCAUGUCUUAUGUCAUUCAGGGAAUUGCAAAUCAAAACAACAAUGAGAUACCAUACUCACUUAUCAGAAUGGCCAAAAUCCAGAACCUGACAAUACCAAAUGCUAGCAAUGAUGUGGGGCAACAGGAACUCUCAUCCAUUGCUGGUAGCAAUAUAAAAUGGUACAGCCAUUUUGGAAGGCAGUUUGGUGGUUUAUUACAAAACUAAACAUUCUCUUACCAUCUGAUCCAGCAAUUGAGCUCCUUGGUAUUUACCCAAAGGAGCUGAAAACUUAUGUCCCCACAAAAACCUGUACAUGGAUAUUUAUGGCAGCUUUGCUCAUAAUGGCCAAAACCUGGAAGCAACAAGAUGUUCUUUAGUCAGUGAAUGGAUUAAUAAACAGGUACACCCAGGCAAUGCAGCAGUAUUCGGUGCUAAAAAGCACCAAGUUACCAAGCCAUGAAAAGACAUGGAAGAACCUUCAAUGCAUGUUACUACGUGAAGGAAACCAGUCUAAAAACGCUAUUUACUGUAUGAUUCCAGCUGUAUGACAUUCUGGAAAAGGCAAAACUAUGGAGACAGUGAAAAGAUCCUUGAGCAGGGGGUCCAGGGGUGGGUCACAGGAUGUUCAACUCCUUUGAAGUCACCACACAGGUUUCCCAGGGGGCGGUCGUGGUCCUUGUCCCAGGGUUGGGCAUUUUCCUUUCUGUCCACUGCCCUUUCAGAGGCGACCUUAGCAGUGCUUGGCGUGAGGCCUGGGUUCUAUCCAUGGGCACGAGAGGCCCGGGACUUAGGCCUGCAUAGGACUGGGGGGAAAAAAAACACUGUUGAUUCCAAAUUAUGGCAGGAAAAUUUAAAAAUUAAAAUGCAUAAAUGUUACUUACUUGCCUACAAAACUUAAUGUUGUGUCAACAUCAUUAAUUGUUAAAUGAGUACUCAUAAAGAUUUCAUUAUAUUCAAAGACAACCGCAGGUUUUUCUCGCUUGGCAAGAAACCCAACACACGCAUGAUUGCUUAGAAAUAAAACCAGUUGUGAAUUCAA